CAGUCGCCGCGGGAAUACGAAGGGGGCUAGCGUUGUUCGGAAUCACUGGGCGUAAAGCGCACGUAGGCGGACUUUUAAGUCAGGGGUGAAAUCCCAAGGCUCAACCUUGGAACUGCCUUUGAUACUGGAAGUCUCGAGUUCGGGAGAGGUGAGUGGAACUGCGAGUGUAGAGGUGAAAUUCGUAGAUAUUCGCAAGAACACCAGUGGCGAAGGCGGCUCACUGGCCCGAUACUGACGCUGAAGUGCGAAAGCGUGGGGAGCAAACAGGAUUAGAUACCCCAGUAGUCCCUGUCUCUUAUAA
rnacentral:rRNA from 1 species